GAAAAAAUGGUUUAAUUUUCAAUCAGAUGUUAAUGUUCGUUUUUAUUUCCUGCUCAGUGAACUGAACUUUAAUCGCAGAUAGCUAUUAACAGUGCAAGAGAUAAGAAAGUCUAAAUUAAACAGACUGUGCAAUAAAGGAAGUGUAAACAUCAGAACUCACUUUACAGGAAAUGUUUAGGAAGGCUGUGUAAGUCACAUGCAGGGGACUUGGC